GUGCUUGCACUCUGUGAAACAAGAUACAGGCUAGCGGCGGACGGGUGAGUAACACGUGGGUAACCUGCCCAAGAGAUCGGGAUAACACCUGGAAACAGAUGCUAAUACCGGAUAACAACAGAUGAUGCCUAUCAACUGUUUAAAAGAUGGUUCUGCUAUCACUCUUGGAUGGGCCUGCGGUGCAUUAGCUAGUUGGUAGGGUAACGGCCUACCAAGGCGAUGAUGCAUAGCCGAGUUGAGAGACUGAUCGGCCACAUUGGGACUGAGACACGGCCCAAACUCCUACGGGAGGCAGCAGUAGGGAAUCUUCCACAAUGGACGCAAGUCUGAUGGAGCAACGCCGCGUGAGUGAAGAAGGGCUUCGGCUCGUAAAGCUCUGUUGUUGGUGAAGAAGGACAGGGGUAGUAACUGACCUUUGUUUGACGGUAAUCAAUUAGAAAGUCACGGCUAACUACGUGCCAGCAGCCGCGGUAAUACGUAGGUGGCAAGCGUUGUCCGGAUUUAUUGGGCGUAAAGCGAGUGCAGGCGGCUCGAUAAGUCUGAUGUGAAAGCCUUCGGCUCAACCGGAGAAUUGCAUCAGAAACUGUCGAGCUUGAGUACAGAAGAGGAGAGUGGAACUCCAUGUGUAGCGGUGAAAUGCGUAGAUAUAUGGAAGAACACCGGUGGCGAAGGCGGCUCUCUGGUCUGUUACUGACGCUGAGGCUCGAAAGCAUGGGUAGCGAACAGGAUUAGAUACCCUGGUAGUCCAUGCCGUAAAC
rnacentral:rRNA from 1 species